GAUGAAGAACGUAGCGAAAUGCGAUACUUGGUGUGAAUUGCAGAAUCCCGUGAACCAUCGAGUCUUUGAACGCAAGUUGCGCCCGAAGCCAUUAGGCCGAGGGCACGCCUGCCUGGGCGUCACACGUCGUUGCCCCCCCAUCUACUCCUUCGGGAUUGCGGGGGGCGGAUGAUGGCCUCCCGUGCGCCUCGCCGCGCGGUUGGCAUAAAUGCCAAGUCCUCGGCGACGCACGCCACGACAAUCGGUGGUUGCGAAACCUCGGUUGCCCGUCGUGUGCGGUCGUCGCGCAUCGAGGGCUCGAAAAAAUUGCCGGGUUCCGGCUCGGCUUUCAACGCGACCCCAGGUCAGGCGGGGUUACCCGCUGAAUCUAAGCAUAUCAAUAAGCGGAGGA
rnacentral:misc_RNA from 1 species